UUCGAAUCCAUAAGAACAACUCAUGUUUGUCCAGUAACCUCUAUCCCCUGUGAAGUGACCAGUUCGAAUCCAUAAGAACAACUCGCAGUUGUCUGUUUGUUUCAUUCCCGGUCAAGUGGCUAGUUCGAAUCCAAGAACAGCUUGUACCUGUCCAACUUGUUUCUAGUUUCCCGUUACUCUGCUAUUCACUAUCUUUGUCAAUGUCUACCAAUCCCGCAAUGGAUACGACAUAUUUUGUUAAUUCCAAUCCCCAUGAG
rnacentral:lncRNA from 1 species